AGCAUGAGCCGAAACUGGGGUCAAAACUGGCAGUCAAACGCGGUUCUCGUCGGUCAGUCACUCUCCUUCAGGGUCACAGGCGGUGACAGACGCACUUCCACCUCGUGGAACAUCGUCCCCGCCAAUUGGCAGUUCGGCCAAACAUUCGCUGGAAAGAAUUUCAGAGUUUGAUUGUUCAAAAUUUGAAAACCAAACAACGAAAAAAGAAAAAACCAAACAAAGGAACGAAACUAUUAACCCUCCAUAAGUUAAAAAACCAAAGUUAGCAGCAGUAAAAAUGAAGUUUCCCGCCAUAAUCCAUUUCCCAUUUUUACCGUCAUUGGCGCCAAACUUUUCUUCGUUAGGGUGAUGUUUCUUUUUGACCAAUUGGGUUUCGGGUUGGGGCUGCUGGCACUCAUUUAGGUUAAGGGGAAAGAAAAGUGAAGAUUUUCAUGGAUUUUUC
rnacentral:lncRNA from 1 species